rnacentral:tRNA from 1 species
GGCAAAAUGGUUAAAAAAACACCUGAGUUUUGGAGUUCACAAGAUAUGGGUUUAAACUCCCAUUCUUGCCU